GACGAACGCUGGCGGCGUGCCUAAUACAUGCAAGUCGAGCGGGCCUCCGGAGGUGCUUGCACCUCCGGAAGGCCAGCGGCGGACGGGUGAGUAACACGUGGGCAACCUGCCUUUGAGGCCGGGAUAACACCGGGAAACCGGUGCUAAUACCGGAUACGUCCUCUUUCGCGCCUGCGAGAGGGGAGAAAGACGGUCUCUAAGGCCGUCGCUCAAAGAGGGGCCCGCGGCGCAUUAGCUGGUUGGUGGGGUAAGGGCCUACCAAGGCGACGAUGCGUUGCCGACCUGAGAGGGUGAUCGGCCACACUGGGACUGAGACACGGCCCAGACUCCUGCGGGAGGCAGCAGUAGGGAAUCAUCCGCAAUGGGCGAAAGCCUGACGGUGCAACGCCGCGUGAGUGAGGAAGGUUUUCGGAUCGUAAAGCUCUGUUGUGAGGGAAGAACAGCUUCCGGAGGAAAUGCCGGAGGUUUGCCGGUACCUCACCAGAAAGCCCCGGCUAACUACGUGCCAGCCGCCGCGGUAA
rnacentral:rRNA from 1 species